GCCCCCUGGGGACAGAAAAUGCUUUACCUUUGGCUGCUAUAAACUUGGCUGCAGCCCCAAGCUGCUGUUUAGGAAGCUCGGGAAUGAGCACGAGGAGGUAAAGGUGCGCAGGAGCCAGCCAGGCAGGAUGGCCACUCACUGAGAUGAGGCUCAGAUCAUGCCCUCAGGUACACCUCCAUCUGCUGCUUUUCUUUUUUAUUCUUUAUGGAUGUUACAAUAAUUCUUCAGACCUGGGACAAAGCAGUUCCAGAUGCUCAGACACCGCGACCUACCAGAGGUGCAGAAGACUCACUCCAGCAGAAGCACACCAUGGGCGGGGGACACUGCUUACUGGCCCAGGGAUGAAGAGGAGAUGCACUUCUGGGGCCUGGGGUGGUUGGUGUCCCAAACCUGCAAGGGGUCCUGCGAGCAGCGAGACCACUGAAGUGGCACUCAGUUAUCUCAGAGGUUCCUGGCCAGCUGGAUGCCCAGUAGCCCCUGGACAAGACAAUUGCUUAUUGACUCUGUUCUGCAGGGGUACGCCGUGUUACAUUAUCCUCCUGUCUUCUUGCUGCAGUGCCAGAAUCUCUCCGCACUCUUCCUAGCCUCUUGAUCUCCAGCAUCAGCAGGACUUAAACAAGACAAGUACAAAUGGAUGGAAACUCUUGGGGUGCCAGGAGCUGUUGAAUUUAGCAAUGCUUCAUCAGGCUGCCAGAGAGACCGGACACGUAUUUACUGUGAGUUACUUUGAUGCUUCAGCUGGCCUUGAAGAGCCGGAACUGCUGCUUGUCUGAUGCUAGGGAAUAACCUUAAACUGUUUUUGGUGUUUUGUAUUUUUUUUUUUUUUUCAAAUCACCAAAUGUGACAAAAAUGUAUUUACAGCAGAGAACUCCACUUUUACUGCCUUUGACUUGAUUUUCUCCUACCCCUGUCCCUCUUUCUGUUUAUAGUUACUCCUCAUGACUCAGUUUUCCUUCCUCCCUCUGCGUUCUCCCCCCAGCUACCCUUCGACUGCUGGGAAUUUCUUAGAAAUGUUACACUACCAGCAUUCACCUUUGUUCGGAGAAAAAGGAGCACAAGAACAUUAGCUUGGAAGCAGAAUGACAUCUCUGAGGAAUGACACCAGCUUUGGACAUCGAAUAAAACUGAAGAGGGGCAAAUCUGAGGGGAGAAGGCCCGCAGGGCAUCUAAUCAGUCCAAGGGCAUUUAGCAUGUAAAUGAGGUUGUUUUGGCAAAAUAUGCCCUCGUGUGGAAUAUGCCACUGAUCAGUAGGGGCUGCAGAAGAGCAAGUACUUGAAAAUAUGGGCUCCUCUUGGGUGCAAAAGCUGUGCCACUUUCACAGCUGAUGGUGGUGGUAUCCUUCUAACAGCCCUUGGAGGGAAACAAAUCAUGAUUUUGUGCUGGCUUUUGUAGACACACACAGGAAACAGGAACAGAUAUCAUGGGAAAGCUUGCAGAGACAGCACAAAAAAUAUGGAUGUAGCUCCUGAAGUCUACAGCCACGGCGGUGGUGCUCAGCUGGGCUUCAGGAGGGUGUUCUGUGGUGUUUUAAUGUCCUCUCAGCCUUGCAAAGCCUAUAGCUCCCCUCCUCUGUGCUGCAGCUGGGAGUUUCAGGUCAGGUUCCCCAGCCAGGACUAUUUGCACAGUCGCUUUGCUUUGCUGGCCGUCAGGGGUCUGCACAGACCGCCUCAGCAGCACAGGCACGGCGGGACGGGUGCUUCACAGAGCGCUGGAGCUGCACGCCGCACGGAUUUGGGAAGCUCAAGUGCCCAGAAAUCCUGGGCAAAUGUACAAGAUCCUUGCAGUCUGCCAGAACAACAUUUCCAGGUGGAGAAGGACAUGUCUGAGAAAUGCGAACAUGUGACGGACUCUUCCAAAUGGGUUUCAUGGCAUACCACUCAUAAUUCAGAGCUUUUCGCAGAAACACAAAGGCAGACAAGGCACAUGUCCUAGCUCUUUCAAGCUUUUUUUUUUUUUUUUUUUCCCUUUCUCAUUUUUCUUCGGGGAUUACAAGAGGUGGAGGUUUAGAUUGAUUUGUUUUUCUUUUCUGGAGCAAGUGUUUGGGGAUUUCACUUUUCAGAGGAACUUCUGCUAUGUGGAGAAAGGUCAGAAUUUGUGUGUGUGUGUGUUGUUUUUCCAGUUCCCAGGGCCGCUGGAGACAGGUCUACACUGAGCUGUGGUGGCUCCAGAAAGAUGCUGCCUAGAGCAGAGCUCCAGCAGAGGAGGGCUCCCAGGAAGGACAUUUUCCUCCUCCCACUAACUGGACAAUGUAUACUUACAGCGACACUACUGGAAGAGACGGCAGCAUCCCUAGUGCUCAUGGCAGUGGCUGCUUCAGAUUUUCAGGGCACCAAGGGCGGCUUCUCCCUCAGCACUGAUGGGCACAUCAGCACCUUUCCAGAAGUGCCGAUACAGGUGAAAGAAAUGGUUCUCCCAAGGGCACCCAGAAUGCUGGGGACAAAACACCAACUAGUGCCUGGUGUCCCCAGAUCACCACCGACCUAUUUUCUCUCCAGUGUACAAGGUACCAUUGCUCUCCCUUAUUGCAACUUCUUCUUCCACUUGCUGAAAGUGCAGCCACGCCAAAGCAUGCCUGGCUGGGUACCCCAGGUUGCAGGGACUCUAAAUCACACCUAGCCCCAUGGGCAGGUAGCACAGAUCCCCUUCCCUGACUGGAUUUGUUCUCCUGCAGGGCUUGGGCUCCCUCUUAUCAAUAUUUGA